ACAAACCAGUGUGCCUGGCACCUACUACCGUACCCCGUUCAAAGGCACUUAAAUAUUAUGCUGUGGAGCUAAGAGGGACUGGUUGUUGUGGCGCUAAGAGGGACUGGUUGUUGUGGAGCUAAGAGGGACUGGUUGUUGUGGAGCUAAGAGGGACUGGUUGCUGUGGAGCUAAGAGGGACUGGUUGCUGUGGAGCUAAGAGGGACUGGUUGUUGUGGAGCUAAGAGGGACUGGUUGCUGUGGAGCUAAGAGGGACUGGUUGUUGUGGAGCUAAGAGGGACUGGUUGUUGUGGAGCUAAGAGGGACUGGUUGUUGUGGCGCUAAGAGGGACUGGUUGUUGUGGAGCUAAGAGGGACUGGUUGUUGUGGAGCUAAGAGGGACUGGUUGUUGUGGAGCUAAGAGGGACUGGUUGUUGUGGAGCUAAGAGGGACUGGUUGUUGUGGCGCUAAGAGGGACUGGUUGUUGUGGAGCUAAGAGGGACUGGUUGUUGUGGCGCUAAGAGGGACUGGUUGUUGUGGAGCUAAGAGGGACUGGUUGUUGUGGCGCUAAGAGGGACUGGUUGUUGUGGAGCUAAGAGGGACUGGUUGUUGUGGAGCUAAGAGGGACUGGUUGUUGUGGAGCUAAGAGGGACUGGUUGUUGUGGCGCUAAGAGGGACUGGUUGUUGUGGAGCUAAGAGGGACUGGUUGUUGUGGAGCUAAGAGGGACUGGUUGUUGUGGAGCUAAGAGGGACUGGUUGUUGUGGAGCUAAGAGGGACUGGUUGUUGUGGAGCUAUGCGGGACUGGUUGUUGUGGCGCUAAGAGGGACUGGUUGUUGUGGCGCUAAGAGGGACUGGUUGUUGUGGCGCUAAGAGGGACUGGUUGUUGUGGCGCUAAGAGGGACUGGUUGUUGUGGCGCUAAGAGGGACUGGUUGUUGUGGAGCUAAGAGGGACUGGUUGUUGUGGCGCUAAGAGGGACUGGUUGUUGUGGAGCUAAGAGGGACUGGUUGUUUUGGUGCUAAGAGCCCCACCCCAAACACACACACACACAUGCAUCUGUGAGGUCAGGGUCCUUCUUGCCUUGUAGUCCGCUGUAGGUAGCUACUCUUUAAACUGAAUCAAUUCAACAGUCACUCCAUUAUUCUUCCACUGACAUAUUGUCUCCCCUACUGUACCAGAUAAACCACUGUCUUCAUCAGUGUUGCUGCUGUUUCAUAUUAACUCAUUUCGUUCAUUUUUGUUUUGCAAGAACACUUUUUUCAUCAUGUUUCAUUCUACUGUUUGUAAUUAUUGUGAUUUAAUAAAAAAAAAUCAGAUUUUGAUUAAA